rnacentral:snRNA from 1 species
AUGACCACGACCACAGUGGCACAUAUACUAAAAUUGAAUUGAGUCUGAGAAGAUUAGCAUGGCUCCUGCGAAAGGAUGACACGCAAAUCCCAGGUUUGGGUAAGGUAAAU